rnacentral:rRNA from 1 species
GAGGUCCCACCUGCCCUGUGACUCUAAGUUUAACGGCCGCGGUAUUCUAACCGUGCAAAGGUAGCGCAAUCAAUUGCCUUUUAAAUGAAGGCCUGUAUGAAUGGUAUAACGAGGGUCUAGCUGUCUCUCUUUUCUAGUCAGUUAAACUGAUCUGUCCGUGCAGAAGCGGACAUAACUAUACAAGACGAGAAGACCCUAUGGAGCUUUAGGCACCAGCCAACUGUGAGUAAGCGGCUGAACUGAGCAGUCCCAAAUACACACGACCUUCUGGCCAUGUAGUCUUAGGUUGGGGCGACCACGGGAGAAAAUGAAGCUCCCAAGCAGACCGGGAUUAACCCUUGAGCCGAGAGUAACAACUCUAGGCCACAAAAAUUUUGACUGAAAUGAUCCGGUUGAAAAACCGAUUAGCGGACCAAGUUACCCUAGGGAUAACAGCGCAAUCCCCUCCCAGAGUCCCUAUCGACGAGGGGGUUUACGACCUCGAUGUUGGAUCAGGACAUCCUAAUGGUGCAGCCGCUAUUAA